AGCGCGUUCACUUCCUGGGCCCGGCUGGCACUGCCCUGCGCCGCCGCCCGUCAGUCCCGGUACCCCGCCAGGAAAUGUCUUCUUCCUGGGAAGACGGCCGCUGUCUGCGGCAGUGGGUGGCAGAGUCUGAAACCAAGUCGCACAAGCCCUGGGAGACAGAAAGCCUUGUGUUUGUCUUGGGGACUGUUCCGUCAGAAUGAGCAGCUUAAAAAAUGUCGCCUGUGAGGUCUCAGCUGUACAACAAGAAGAUAGCAAUCUGCAAACCAGAAAGUGGGCCCUCACAAGAACUAGAUGAUGAUGGUGUCCUGGCUUCAAACUCCCAGCUUCCAGAACUGU
rnacentral:lncRNA from 1 species